rnacentral:rRNA from 1 species
CCUACGGGGUGCAGCAGUGAGGAAUAUUGGUCAAUGGGCGCGAGCCUGAACCAGCCCAGUAGCGUGAAGGAUGACUGCCCUACGGGUUGUAAACUUCUUUUAUAAAGGAAUAAAGUGAGGAACGUGUGCCUUUUUGUAUGUACUUUAUGAAUAAGGAUCGGCUAACUCCGUGCCAGCAGCCGCGGUAAUACGGAGGAUCCGAGCGUUACCCGGAUUUAUUGGGUUUAAAGGGAGAGUAGAUGGGUUGUUAAGUCAGUUUGGAAAGUUUGCGGCUCAAACGGAAGAUUGCAAUUGAUACUGGCAGCGUUGAGUAAAGUUGAGGUAGGCGGAAUUCGUGGUGUAGCGGUGAAAUGCUUAGAUAUCACGAAGAACUCCGAUUGCGAAGGCAGCCUACUAAACUGCCACUGACAUUGAUGCUCGAAAGUGUGGGUAUCAAACAGGAUUAGAUACCCUUGUAGUC